AUUGAACGCUGGCGGCAUGCCUUACACAUGCAAGUCGAACGGUAACAGGUCUUCGGAUGCUGACGAGUGGCGAACGGGUGAGUAAUGCAUCGGAACGUGCCCAGUCGUGGGGGAUAACUGCUCGAAAGAGCAGCUAAUACCGCAUACGACCUGAGGGUGAAAGCGGGGGACCGUAAGGCCUCGCGCGAUUGGAGCGGCCGAUGUCAGAUUAGCUAGUUGGUGGGGUAAAGGCCUACCAAGGCAACGAUCUGUAGUUGGUCUGAGAGGACGACCAGCCACACUGGGACUGAGACACGGCCCAGACUCCUACGGGAGGAAGCAGUGGGGAAUUUUGGACAAUGGGCGCAAGCCUGAUCCAGCAAUGCCGCGUGCAGGAAGAAGGCCUUCGGGUUGUAAACUGCUUUUGUCAGGGAAGAAAUCCUCUGGGUUAAUACCUCGGGGGGAUGACGGUACCUGAAGAAUAAGCACCGGCUAACUACGUGCCAGCAGCCGCCGUAAUAC
rnacentral:rRNA from 1 species